rnacentral:rRNA from 1 species
UACAGAGGAUGCAAGCGUUAUCCGGAAUGAUUGGGCGUAAAGCGUCUGUAGGUGGCUUUUUAAGUCCGCCGUCAAAUCCCAGGGCUCAACUCUGGACAGGCGGUGGAAACUACCAAGCUUGAGUACGGUAGGGCAGAGGGAAUUUCCGGUGGAGCGGUGAAAUGCGUAGAGAUCGGAAAGAACACCAACGGCGAAAGCACUCGUGCUGGGCCGGACACUGACACUGAGAGACGAAAGCUAGGGGAGCGAAUGGG